GUGGGGAAUUUUGGACAAUGGGCGCAAGCCUGAUCCAGCCAUGCCGCGUGAGUGAAGAAGGCCUUCGGGUUGUAAAGCUCUUUCGGCCGGGAAGAAAUCGGCGACUCUAACAUAGUCGCUGGAUGACGGUACCGGACUAAGAAGCACCGGCUAACUACGUGCCAGCAGCCGCGGUAAUACGUAGGGUGCGAGCGUUAAUCGGCAUUACUGGGCGUAAAGCGUGCGCAGGCGGUUUUGUAAGACAGAUGUGAAAUCCCCGGGCUUAACCUGGGAACUGCGUUUGUGACUGCAAGGCUAGAGUACGGCAGAGGGGGGUGGAAUUCCUGGUGUAGCAGUGAAAUGCGUAGAUAUCAGGAGGAACACCGAUGGCGAAGGCAGCCCCCUGGGCCUGUACUGACGCUCAUGCACGAAAGCGUGGGGAGCAAACAGGAUUAGAAACCCCUGUAGUCC
rnacentral:rRNA from 1 species